UGGGGAAUUUUGGACAAUGGGCGAAAGCCUGAUCCAGCAAUGCCGCGUGUGUGAAGAAGGCCUUCGGGUUGUAAAGCACUUUUGUCCGGAAAGAAAUCCUUGGCUCUAAUACAGUCGGGGGAUGACGGUACCGGAAGAAUAAGCACCGGCUAACUACGUGCCAGCAGCCGCGGUAAUACGUAGGGUGCAAGCGUUAAUCGGAAUUACUGGGCGUAAAGCGUGCGCAGGCGGUUUGCUAAGACCGAUGUGAAAUCCCCGGCGUCAACCUAGGGCACUGGCAUUGGUGAUGCUGGCAGGCUAGAGUAUGGCAGAGGGGGGUAGAAUUCCACGUGUAGCAGUGAAAUGCGUAGAGAUGUGGAGGAAUACCGAUGGCGAAGGCAGCCCCCUGGGCCAAUACUGACGCUCAUGCACGAAAGCGUGGGGAGCAAACAGGAUUAGAUACCCUGGUAGUCCACGCCCUAAACGAUGUCAACUAGUUGUUGGGGAUUC
rnacentral:rRNA from 1 species